rnacentral:rRNA from 1 species
GACGAACGCUGGCGGCGUGCUUAACACAUGCAAGUCGAACGGAAAGGCCCUGCUUUUGUGGGGUGCUCGAGUGGCGAACGGGUGAGUAACACGUGAGUAACCUGCCCUUGACUUUGGGAUAACUUCAGGAAACUGGGGCUAAUACCGGAUAGGAGCUCCUGCUGCAUGGUGGGGGUUGGAAAGUUUCGGCGGUUGGGGAUGGACUCGCGGCUUAUCAGCUUGUUGGUGGGGUAGUGGCUUACCAAGGCUUUGACGGGUAGCCGGCCUGAGAGGGUGACCGGCCACAUUGGGACUGAGAUACGGCCCAGACUCCUACGGGAGGCAGCAGUGGGGAAUAUUGCAAAAAGGGCGGAAGCCUGAUGCAGCAACGCCGCGUGCGGGAUGACGGCCUUCGGGUUGUAAACCGCUUUCGCCUGUGACGAAGCGUGAGUGACGGUAAUGGGUAAAGAAGCACCGGCUAACUACGUG